rnacentral:rRNA from 1 species
AGCGAACGCUGGCGGCAGGCCUAACACAUGCAAGUCGAACGAAGUCUUCGGACUUAGUGGCGGACGGGUGAGUAACGCGUGGGAACGUGCCUUUAGGUUCGGAAUAACUCAGGGAAACUUGUGCUAAUACCGAAUGUGCCCUUUGGGGGAAAGAUUUAUCGCCUUUAGAGCGGCCCGGGUCUGAUUAGCUAGUUGGUGAGGUAAAGGCUCACCAAGGCGACGAUCAGUAGCUGGUCUGAGAGGAUGAUCAGCCACAUUGGGACUGAGACACGGCCCAAACUCCUACGGGAGGCAGCAGUGGGGAAUCUUGCGCAAUGGGCGAAAGCCUGACGCAGCCAUGCCGCGUGAAUGAUGAAGGUUUUAGGAUUGUAAAAUUCUUUCACCGGGGACGAUAAUGACGGUACCCGGAGAAGAAGCCCCGGCUAACUUCGUGCCAGCAGCCGCAGUAAGAC